rnacentral:rRNA from 1 species
UACGUAGGGCGCAAGCGUUAUCCGGAAUUAUUGGGCGUAAAGAGCUCGUAGGCGGUUUGUCGCGUCUAUCGUGAAAGUCCGAGGCUCAACUCCGGAUCUGCGGUGGGUACGGGCAGACUAGAGUGAUGUAGGGGAGACUGGAAUUCCUGGUGUAGCGGUGAAAUGCGCAGAUAUCAGGAGGAACACCGAUGGCGAAGGCAGGUCUCUGGGCAUUAACUGACGCUGAGGAGCGAAAGCAUGGGGAGCGAACAGG